rnacentral:rRNA from 1 species
AUUGAACGCUGGCGGCAUGCUUUACACAUGCAAGUCGAACGGUAACAGGUUAAGCUGACGAGUGGCGAACGGGUGAGUGAUAUAUCGGAACGUGCCCAGUCGUGGGGGAUAACGUAGCGAAAGUUACGCUAAUACCGCAUACGAUCUAAGGAUGAAAGCGGGGGAUCGCAAGACCUCGCGCGAUUGGAGCGGCCGAUAUCAGAUUAGGUAGUUGGUGGGGUAAAGGCCCACCAAGCCAACGAUCUGUAGCUGGUCUGAGAGGACGACCAGCCACACUGGAACUGAGUCACGGUCCAGACUCCUACGGGAGGCAGCAGUGGGGAAUUUUGGACAAUGGGCGAAAGCCUGAUCCAGCCAUUCCGCGUGCAGGAUGAAGGCCCUCGGGUUGUAAACUGCUUUUGUACAGAACGAAAAGGUUUCUACUAAUACUAGGAGCUCAUGACGGUACUGUAAGAAUAAGCACCGGCUAACUACGUGCCAGCAGCCGCCGUAA